rnacentral:tRNA from 1 species
AGUCUGUUGGUCUAGCGGUCAAGACGUCGCCCUGUCACGGCGAAGAUCACGGGUUCAAAUCCCGUACAGACUGCCA